GUGGAUUAGAUACCUGGGUAGUCCACGCCCUAAACGAUGCUCACUAGGUGUUGGGGAAGCGAUUCCUUGGUACCGUAGCUAACGCGUGAAGUGAGCCGCCUGGGGAGUACGGCCGCAAGGUUAAAACUCAAAGGAAUUGACGGGGACCCGCACAAGCGGUGGAUGAUGUGGAUUAAUUCGAUGCAACGCGAACAACCUUACCUACCCUUGACAUGUCGCGAAGCCUGCUGAAAGGCGGGUGUGCCCGAAAGGGAACGCGAACACAGGUGCUGCACGGCUGUCGCCAGCU
rnacentral:rRNA from 1 species